rnacentral:rRNA from 1 species
CUACGGGUCGCUGCAGUGGGGAAUAUUGGACAAUGGGCGCAAGCCUGAUCCAGCAAUACCGCGUGUGUGAAGAAGGGUUUCGGCUCGUAAAGCACUUUCAGUUGGGAGGAAAGGUUGUCAGUUAAUACCUGAUAGCUGUGACGUUACCAACAGAAGAAGCACCGGCUAACUCCGUGCCAGCAGCCGCGGUAAUACGGAGUGUGCAAGCGUUAAUCGGAAUUACUGGGCGUAAAGCGCGCGUAGGCGGAAUAUUAAGUCUCAUGUGAAAGCCCUGGGCUCAACCUGGGAACUGCAUGGGAUACUGGUAUUCUAGAAUACAGUAGAGGGAGGUGGAAUUUCAGGUGUAGCGGUGAAAUGCGUAGAGAUCUGAAGGAACAUCAGUGGCGAAGGCGACCUCCUGGACUGAUAUUGACGCUGAGGUGCGAAAGCGUGGGGAGCAAACAGGAUUAGAUACCCGCGUAGUC